rnacentral:lncRNA from 1 species
UGGGGGCAGGGGGGUCCUAGUGGCUGGAAGCCAUUGCCUUCAUGCACAGAUAAAACAGAUGGUGGAUAUGCAAAUUCACAACACCUUGCACUUUGAAUUUAUUUCCUCUUCUGAUAUCUCCAAUAUCUGAUCACUUAAGGUUCUGAACAGCUCUGUUGGAGGGCUACCUGGGAGAAGAGCAAGCAAACAAGGUUCCAUUAGAAACAAAAAACAAAACAACAAAAAAAAAAAGAUCAAAAAUAUUGUUUCUUCAUCUUUGGAUUUUGAUUUUAUAUGAAGAAUUACAAUUUCCCUUUAAUGCUUUUCUUCUUUUUUUGAAGACAUUUUAGAAACUAAUCAAGUAAUGAUGGA